CCGAGCUAGGGGUACAAGUCCUGCAGUAUUGCGUUCCUCUGGACCUAAGCAUAGUGCCGAAAGGCCUGCGACGACGCUCGGCGUUAAGGAAGAGAGUAUCGGACGCGAUGUCUUCCUUGACG
rnacentral:ncRNA from 1 species